rnacentral:rRNA from 1 species
CAGCAGCCGCGGUAAUACGUAGGUGGCAAGCGUUGUCCGGAAUUAUUGGGCGUAAAGGGCUCGCAGGCGGUUUCUUAAGUCUGAUGUGAAAGCCCCCGGCUCAACCGGGGAGGGUCAUUGGAAACUGGGAAACUUGAGUGCAGAAGAGGAGAGUGGAAUUCCACGUGUAGCGGUGAAAUGCGUAGAGAUGUGGAGGAACACCAGUGGCGAAGGCGACUCUCUGGUCUGUAACUGACGCUGAGGAGCGAAAGCGUGGGGAGCGAACGGGAUUAGAUACCCCCGUAGUCCCUGUCUCUUAUAC